rnacentral:rRNA from 1 species
AAUGAACGUUGGCGGCAUGGAUUAGGCAUGCAAGUCGAGCGAGAAGUGUAGCAAUACACGGAAAGCGGCGGAAGGGAGGGUAAUACGUGGGAAUCUGCCCUUAGACCUGGGAUAGCAGCGGGAAACUGCUGGUAAUACCAGAUAAUGUCUAUGGACCAAAGGUGUGAUUCCGUCUAGGGAUGAGCCCACGUCCUAUUAGCUAGUUGGUAGGGUAAUGGCCUACCAAGGCGAUGAUGGGUAGCGGGUGUGAGAGCAUGACCCGCCUCACUGGGACUGAGACACUGCCCAGACACCUAUGGGUGGCUGCAGUCGAGAAUCUUCGGCAAUGGGCGCAAGCCUGACCGAGCGAUGCCGCGUGCGGGAUGAAGGCCUUCGGGUUGUAAACCGCUGUCGAGGGGGAGCAACUUCCAUAGAGUUAUCUUUAUGGACUGAGUGAUCCCUGGAGGAAGGACGGGCUAAGUUCGUGCCAGCCGCCGCGGUAAAAC